rnacentral:tRNA from 1 species
GGCUGUAGCUCAGUGGUAAAGCACUUGCCUAGCAUGCAGGAGGCCCUGCCUUCAAUCCCCAACACUG